UACGGAGGGGGCUAGCGUUGUUCGGAAUUACUGGGCGUAAAGCGCACGUAGGCGGCUUUGUAAGUUAGAGGUGAAAGCCCAGGGCUUAACCCUGGAAUUGCCUUUGAUACUGGCUAUCUUGAGUUCGGGAGAGGUGAGUGGAAUGCCGAGUGUAGAGGUGAAAUUCGUAGAUAUUCGGCGGAACACCAGUGGCGAAGGCGACUCACUGGCCCGAUACUGACGCUGAGGCGCGAAAGCGUGGGGAGCAAACAGG
rnacentral:rRNA from 1 species